ACUAAUCUGCACGCUAUCAUGUUCCAGUUCCAACCUCUUCGUAACUCACGCACCCCACCUCUCCUGAAAUCCCUCGAUUAGGAGUCGUUCCCCCUAACCACCACGACACUUGCAUCUCGCAAAAAUAAAAAUAAAAGAAAGAAUCACUCCCUCUCUCCCUCGAUCCCAUCUCUCGUGACUGCGUAGAUGGCGGCAGCGGCGGUGGCGCGAGGAUCUGAGGCGACGAUCCGGUCGAAGGAAUCUGCCGCCGGCGGGAGCGGCGGCCUGGAGGUGAACGAGCUCAGCAGAGGUAAACCGCGUACCAUAUGAAGGAGUUCCUGCCUAUGUACAAUGCCUUCACACUGGCAAAGCUUAAAAGUACUUUGUAGCUGCAAGCUGUUAGAUGCAAAAAGAAUACUUGUACCGCGUGCUAGCUAGGUGAGCACCUAAGCAUGCUGCAGGACGAUUUCAUCAACCCGGGGAGCCUGGAGUGCGUCCAGAGGGCGAACAAGAUGGCAAGCAAGUACUAGGGCAUCUCCUUACCUACCCGUUUGCCGUCCUUAUAUAGUUAUAUUACCACAUAGAGCAGCAAAAAAAUCUGCAAUUGCAUAGUUGCAGUCUCUGCGAUGGUAGAUGUUGCUUCUGUCUAGAUAUGGAUGCACUUUCGGCAUUGUAAGCUUAUUUUGUAUUGAUGGUUCUGUUCUUACUGUAUGAGAUGCAAAUAUGUAACAAUAUCCUUGACAAGGCAUUUGUUAUUUGGUUGUUCUUGUCA